GAAAAGUCGUUAAUAAGAAACCGCGAGGAACCGCUUUUCUUGCUUCAAUUCAAAGCCAAAAGGUGUUGCUUCAAUUCAACGAGCUAUCAGCAGCAGCAAUAUGAUUU